GACAAACCGUGCGAACGUUGUUCGGAAUCACUGGGCAUAAAGGGCGCGUAGGCGGCUUUUCAAGUCAGGGGUGAAAUCCGGCAGCUCAACUGUCGAAGUGCCCUUGAUACUGAUGAGCUCGAGGGAGGUAGGGGUAUGUGGAACUUCCGGUGGAGCGGUGAAAUGCGUUGAUAUCGGAAGGAACGCCGGUGGCGAAAGCGACGUACUGGACCUCUUCUGACGCUGAGGCGCGAAAGCUAGGGGAGCAAACGGG
rnacentral:rRNA from 1 species